GGGGGGGGGGGGUUGUCCUCUCCGCCCCCCCACUUCUCGCGAGAUUCCACCGCGUUUCCCCACCCGUCCGCCAUUGGCCCGGGCGCUGCGCGCCGGCGUGACGUCAUUCGUGCGGGCAGCAUCGAUAGAGAGAGGCAUGGCCGCCUUCGGCUUAACGAUCAUCCGGCAUGACGUGAGUCCCUGUGAUCAAGUCAGGGUUGAGGAGUCAUUGGUAGAUUCCUGGAGCGAUGCCUGUACCUCAAGAAGGGGCAGGGAACAUGUGCCAGUGCCUCUUCGUUACACAUGGACAAACAAGAUACAACAAAGAGAAGAUAAUGCAAGGUUUGUCUCAACUGGUGGUUAUUAUAUCUCAGUGCCCUUUACUUUUAUUUGGAUAUUAAAUACUGGAUUUGUACCGUUAUUACUGGUAGUCCUUGACUUGAAACAGUUCCUUUAGCGACUAUUCAAAGUUACAAAGGCACUGGAAAAAGUUGCAGCAUUCCCACGGUCAUGUGAUCAAAAAUUCCAUGCUUGGCAACUGGCAUGUAUUUAUGACAGUUGCAACUGUCCCGGGGUCAUGUGAUCAACUUUUUCCACCUUUCUAAAAGUGAAGCCAAUGGGGAAGCCAGAUUCAUUUAACAAUGGGAGCGAUUCACUUAACAGCUGUGGCAAGGAAGGUCGUAAAAUUGUACAAUUGUUUCACUUAGCAACAGAAAUGUUGGGCUCAGUUGUGGUUGUAAGUUGAGGACCACCUGUACUACGUAUAUCUGAGACAGCUGGGAGCAGAUUUUCCUGCUUCCACGGUGUGAGGAAUGAGUGCUUUCACAUGCUCCAAAGCAUCUCUUUUGAGGUUUCCCUGGUUGGCAUUGUGUUGUGACCCAGCUCCCCAAACACAACAAACCCUCGGUAGUUAAACCAAUGAUUCCUUUAUUAAGAGCACCAGCAGCCCCGGCAAAAAGUCUCUGCCCCUCCCUCCCUUCCCCCCCCCCCCCCCCCCACACAUACAGAGCAGGCCAACAAGUCUGCCCCCCAGAGAGAUUUCCACCCCCUGGCUUUUAUCCCCAGAGCUAGAGUGGGGCUUCGCUAGCAGCGGUGGCUCUUCCGUCCCAAGGACCGGCCCAUAAAUUUCCACUGCUCUCCUCUCCUCUGCCUUCUGCGCAUUCGUGAGUCAGGCACUGGACCCAGCUGUUCCUCCUCUUCCUCAUCAGCCACCUCCAGUCCUGGGAAUGUUGACUCCCCAUCUGAGGGCUGACGAACGGCCCAGGCUCUGCCUCUGUCUCUCCCUCUCUGCCAGCUCCAUUCCCUUUUCCCCCUCAGAGCUCCCAGGCUGCCUUGAUGCUGACGCUGAUUCCCACGCCGCCGCCUCUUCUGAUUCGGCUGCUGGAGGGGCCGGCAGCCAACAAGCCGCUACACAUUGUCCUGGGUGGUGACAGAUGGGGUGUCUGCCAGGAGAACAGAUUCUCCUGCCCCUCAGUUUUCUGUCUGACCUCAACACAGCUGAUUUCAAGGUCCCACUGCAGGUGUAACCAUGGAUGUGGAUUUGCUGUUGAGUUUAGUCACCAACUCCUAUAUUAGAGGAGGAAUUGUUGCCUUAAAAAAUAUUGUCCAAGCGGGUUGAUUAAUUACAGUACAUAUAGGUAAAGUACAGUACAGGUAAGUUGAGGUAGUCCUCAACUAACAACCGUUCAUUGAAUGACCGUUAAUUACAACGGCACUGAAAAAAGUGACUGAUGCGGCAAUCCCAUGGUCACGUGAUCAAAAUUUGGACACUUGGCAUCUGCUUCAUAUUUAUGACGGUUGCAAUAUCCCAGGGUUAUGUGGUCCCCUUUUGUGACCUGAUGGGCCAAGUCGAUGGGAAGUCAGAUUUGUUUGACAACCUAAAUUACUAACUUCACAAGUAUAGAGAUUCACUUAACGACUGUGGAAGAAAAGUUGUA
ensembl:lncRNA